rnacentral:ncRNA from 1 species
AGGCGUUUUAAAGCAGUGUGUCGAAUCUGGAAGUGCGGUGCUCUGCAUAGUCUUCGAUGGUUCUCCAAGCAUGCCAGAAGCCAGAUGUAGGUUGAUUUCAACCGAAGGAAAAUGGAAGAU